rnacentral:rRNA from 1 species
ACGGACCACUGGUGUAUCAGCUGUCGACCAACGGCAUAGCUGAGUAGCCAAGUCUGGACGGGAUAAACGCUGAAGGCAUCUAAGCGUGAAGCCCCCCUCAAGAUGAGAUAUCCCAUUCCUUUAAGGAAAUAAGAUCCCUUAUAGACGAUAAGGUAGAUAGGUUCAAGGUGUAAGUGCGGUAACGCAUUCAGCUGAUGAAUACUAAUAGAUCGAAGGUUUAUUCU